AAGCAGAAAGUGAAAAUAUUACAUAUGGUUUCGGCCCAUUUCUAGGUAGUGUAAGUCUGCCUCUGCUUA
rnacentral:tRNA from 1 species